rnacentral:rRNA from 1 species
GCAAACGGGUGAGUAACACGUGGGCAACCUGCUCUCAAAUUGGGGAUAACCUGCCAACGCAGGGCUAAUACCGAAUGUUGUCCUAAUAUCGCAUGGUAUAAGGAUGAAAGCUUUUUUUUAAUAAGAAGGCGUUUGAGAAGGGGCCCGCGUCCUAUUAGCUUGUUGGUGAGGUAACGGCUCACCAAGGCUGCGAUAGGUAGCCGGCCUGAGAGGGUGUUCGGCCACACUGGGACUGAGAUACGGCCCAGACUCCUACGGGAGGCAGCAGUAGGGAAUAUUGCGCAAUGGACGAAAGUCUGACGCAGCAACGCCGCGUGGGUGAUGAAGUUUUUCGGAACGUAAAACCCUGUCAGGAGGGAAGAACCUCUCGAUUUAUUCGAGACUGACGGUACCUCCAGAGGAAGCUCCGGCCAACUCCGUGCCAGCAGCCGCGGUAACACGGGGGGAGCAAGCGUUGUUCGGAUUUACUGGGCGUAAAGGGCGUGUAGGCGGAUGGGUCAGUCAGAUGUGAAAUUCCAGAGCUUAACUCUGGACCUGCAUUUGAUACUUCUCAUCUAGAGUAUGGGAGAGGAAAUCGGAAUUCCUGGUGUAGCGGUGAAAUGCGUAGAUAUCAGGAAGAACACCGGUGGCGAAGGCGGAUUUCUGGCCUAAUACUGACGCUGAUGCGCGAAAGCUGGGGGAGCAAACAGGAUUAGAUACCCUGGUAGUCCCAGCCGUAAACGAUG